rnacentral:rRNA from 1 species
UAUCCUACGGGAGGCAGCAGUGGGGGAUAUUGCACAAUGGGGGGAACCCUGAUGCAGCGACGCCGCGUGGGCGAUGGAGUGCUUCGGCAUGUAAAGCCCUAUCAGCAGCGAAGAAAAUGACGGUACCUGACUAAGAAGCCCCGGCUAAAUACGUGCCAGCAGCCGCGGUAAUACGUAGGGGGCAAGCGUUAUCCGGAUUUACUGGGUGUAAAGGGAGCGUAGACGGCGAUGCAAGUCUGAAGUGAAAGGCGGGGGCCCAACCCCCGGACUGCUUUGGAAACUGUAUGGCUGGAGUGCAG